UAGAUACGGGACCUUUUCCUGAGCCCCCUUCGAGUUCAGCAGAUCACAUCGAAUCGCACCACAGCUAAUUAAGGAGCGCAGAAGUACGGAUACCACGUUCCCGAGGCGCGGCACGUGCAAACAAGUUGGCGUCCCCCACCUCGUAUGCCGCAGGUGGAGCUAUUCACUGCUUGACUCUUCCCGAAAGGGAAGCGAGAGCCUGGCACUGUUGCAGGUAAAGUGGGUCCCGAAGCAAGACGGCUGUAAUGCACCGUGAAAACCUGGCAGCAUCGCCCCCAUCCGCCUAUUGUGACGGCGCAUUGCAAGUCAGCAAGGCAAGACCGCAGGGAGAAGUAAGCCCUCGGACAAUUGGGGACCAAGCAGUGACCCUCUCCGCCGGGUGUGACACCAUCGCACGGGCGCCUACCAUUGGCCGAAAAUGACGACACCCGAGCGGGCUC
rnacentral:lncRNA from 1 species